rnacentral:lncRNA from 1 species
GAUGAUUGUCAUUUAUUCACUUAAACAGUACACAUAAACACUUAACAGUAUUGCAGAAUAAACACUUAACAGUAUUGCAGAAUAUUUUUAAGAAAGUUAUGAAUUCUGUUAAAAUAUUGUAACAAACUUUUAAAGCAAUAUUUAUUCCUGUAUUCUCAGCAUUUUUUAGAAAUUCGAGUGCACUUUAAAAGUUUCCAAAUGCUAAUUUUUUUUAAAGAACCUUAGAGUAAUUGUAAGAAGUAUCAUUAUCCCCAUUUGAUAAAUGAGGAAACUGAAACACAGAACAGUUAAGUAACUUUCUCAGGGUUGUAGGAUAAUUCUUUGCUAAGCUAGGGAUAGAUUAUUUCUUGGCAUUAAGUGUUCUACGCAUUAUUCCGCUGCUUCUCUGUGUUAAAGAAUGCUGCAGUACUUCUAUGAUACAAUUUAAAAAUGAAACCAAACUACUUGUCUUAUGUUUACAGUUUUCUUGGGGAGGGGGGACCUCUUUGGUUGAUAUUCAUUUGCUGUCCUGACCUUUUGUAAAAAUUGAGAUUUUAAACACACAUACAAAAGAGAGGAAGACUGACUACCAUCCUUGACUUGCCUGGGAUUUCAGUAAAAAACAGAGGGCAGAAUAUGUCUCAAAAUAUUGAGCUGAAAUUCUUAUAAAUGUACUUCAGCCUUCCAAAUCAUGUUUCCUGUAUAUUGGACCAGAACAGAAGGAGCUUUUACCUUAGAGUGGAGUGUUGAUGGUACACUUUGUGGUCUGGCUGGCACCAGUGAAGACUACGGUUAAUCCAGUUUUUGUUUAGAGAAACCACUGCAGAAAAGGAUACCUUCUUCUUUCACACUCCUCCAAGCUAUGGGAACUAGAGGGCUUGACGCAUCCUUUACAUCCUGCAUUUACUCUGACCACAGUCCCUCCCUGUUCUCACAAGUGAAGCUCAGCCCUGCUUCCCUUCCUGUUGAUUCCCAGUCAGCUACAUGA